rnacentral:rRNA from 1 species
GGAAUAUUGGACAAUGGGCGCAAGCCUGAUCCAGCCAUGCCGCGUGUGUGAAGAAGGCCUUCGGGUUGUAAAGCACUUUUAUCCGGAAAGAAAAGCGCUGGGUUAAUACCCUGGUGUCCUGACGGUACCGGAAGAAUAAGCACCGGCUAACUUCGUGCCAGCAGCCGCGGUAAUACGAAGGGUGCAAGCGUUACUCGGAAUUACUGGGCGUAAAGCGUGCGUAGGUGGUUUGUUAAGUCUGAUGUGAAAGCCCUGGGCUCAACCUGGGAAUUGCAUUGGAUACUGGCAGGCUAGAGUGCGGUAGAGGGUAGUGGAAUUCCCGGUGUAGCAGUGAAAUGCGUAGAGAUCGGGAGGAACAUCUGUGGCGAAGGCGACUACCUGGACCAGCACUGACACUGAGGCACGAAAGCGUGGGGAGCAAACAGGAUUAGAUACCCUGGUAGUCCACGCCCUAAACGAUGCGAACUGGAUGUUGGGCUCAACUUGGAGCUCAGUAUCGAAGCUAACGCGUUAAGUUCGCCGCCUGGGGAGUACGGUCGCAAGACUGAAACUCAAAGGAAUUGACGG